UACGGGGGGGGCAAGCGUUGUUCGGAAUUACUGGGCGUAAAGGGCUCGUAGGCGGCCAACUAAGUCAGACGUGAAAUCCCUAGGCUCAACCUAGGAACUGCGUCUGAUACUGGAUGGCUUGAAUCCGGGAGAGGUGAGUGGAAUUCCGAGUGUAGAGGUGAAAUUCGUAGAUAUUCGGAAGAACACCAGUGGCGAAGGCGGCUCACUGGACCGGCAUUGACGCUGAGGUGCGAAAGCGUGGGGAGCAAACAGG
rnacentral:rRNA from 1 species